rnacentral:rRNA from 1 species
UGCAAGUCGAGCGGUAAGGCCUUUCGGGGUACACGAGCGGCGAACGGGUGAGUAACACGUGGGUGAUCUGCCCUGCACUCUGGGAUAAGCCUGGGAAACUGGGUCUAAUACUGGAUAUGACCUGCUCUCGCAUGGGGGUGGGUGGAAAGAUUUAUCGGUGCAGGAUGGGCCCGCGGCCUAUCAGCUUGUUGGUGGGGUAAUGGCCUACCAAGGCGACGACGGGUAGCCGACCUGAGAGGGUGACCGGCCACACUGGGACUGAGACACGGCCCAGACUCCUACGGGAGGCAGCAGUGGGGAAUAUUGCACAAUGGGCGGAAGCCUGAUGCAGCGACGCCGCGUGAGGGAUGAAGGCCUUCGGGUUGUAAACCUCUUUCAGCAGGGACGAAGCGUGAGUGACGGUACCUGCAGAAGAAGCACCGGCUAACUACGUGCCAGCAGCCGCGGUAAUACGUAGGGUGCGAGCGUUGUCCGGAAUUACUGGGCGUAAAGAGUUCGUAGGCGGUUUGUCGCGUCGUUUGUGAAAACCCGGGGCUCAACUUCGGGCUUGCAGGCGAUACGGGCAGACUUGAGUGUUUCAGGGGAGACUGGAAUUCCUGGUGUAGCGGUGAAAUGCGCAGAUAUCAGGAGGAACACCGGUGGCGAA